rfam:Callipepla squamata strain Texas jcf7180005230685, whole genome shotgun sequence.
AUGCGCUUAAGCAGAUAAUCCUCAGAGAAAUCCAGGCAGGACAUUUAGAACCUUCUCUUUCUAUGUGGAAUACUCCAGUUUUUGUUAUCCGUAAACCGUCGGGGUCUUACCGCCUACUGCACGAUCUUUGAGCAGUCAGUGCGCAGUUGGUCCUCUUUGGGCCUGUCCAACAGGGGGGACCCUUGCUGUUGGUGGUACCCCGGGGAUGGCCGUUGAUGGCCAUCGACCUCAAAGAUUGCUUUUUCUCUAUCCCAGUGAAGGCAUUUUAUCCCCAUUUCUCAAGUGUUUUU